UUCCAGGUUACUGUCAGCAAUGGGGAU
rnacentral:piRNA from 1 species